AAUAGAUACCCAGGUAGUCCACGCCGUAAACGUUGGGCGCUAAAUGUGGGGGCCAUUCCACGGUUUCCGCGUCGUAGCUAACGCAUUAAGCGCCCCGCCUGGGGAGUACGGCCGCAAGGCUAAAACUCAAAGGAAUUGACGGGGGCCCGCACAAGCGGCGGAGCAUGCGGAUUAAUUCGAUGCAACGCGAAGAACCUUACCAAGGCUUGACAUAUACGAGAACACUGCAGAAAUGUAGGACUCUUUGGACACUCGUAUACAGGUGGUGCAUGGUUGUCGUCAGCUCGUGUCGUGAGAUGUUGGGUUAAGUCCCGCAACGAGCGCAACCCUCGUCGCAUGUUGCCAGCACGUAAAGGUGGGAACUCAUGUGAGACUGCCGGGGUCAACUCGGAGGAAGGUGGGGAUGACGUCAAAUCAUCAUGCCCCUUAUGUCUUGGGCUUCACGCAUGCUACAAUGGCCGGUACAAAGGGCUGCAAUCCGUAAGGUGGAGCGAAUCCCAAAAAGCCGGUCUCAGUUCGGA
rnacentral:rRNA from 1 species